rnacentral:lncRNA from 1 species
CCUCCCUCCCUCCCUCCCUCCCUUCCUUCCUUCCUUCCUUCCUUCCUUCCUUCCUUCCUUCCUUCCUUCCUUCCUUCCUUCCUUCCUUCCUCUUUCUUUUCUUUCUUUCUUUCCUCUCUUUCUCUCUUUCUUUCUGCAAAACAACAGCCAUUUCAAAAUGUCUUUUGAAAAACCUAAUCUGACACAGUGUUCACAGAAGUAAAAGCUUUAAUAAAUCCUGCUGUGGUCGAGUCAGCAGUAUCCCAAAACAGAGUAUGGGUCAGUGCAGCUAUAGCAGCUGCUGCCCUGUCAGAUACAUUCGUAUUGCUGCCUGAAACUCAAACAUUGGAAAACUCUAAGAAAAACUUUGGAAACACAUCAAACUGUGCACCAUGCUUCCACACAGCUCAGAUCAAAUAUUUUCACUUGGCAACAUGCUGCAACAAUCUCAUGAAAGCUGUUAAUAUUGACACUAAUCUCUAAGUGUCAGUCAUCCUUCUACGCUUAGGACAGGACAGGUAUCUGAUUACAGAGAACAAGCUCACACUUCAAGAAAGUAUGCAUAGCCAGGGAGGUGGGGGCUGCUUUACAACCCUCUGAACAGGCAAACAAACCAAGAGGUUUCUUUCUUCAAACAACAGUUCAGUUACUGUUGCUUGGAGUUUCUCAAUCUCUUCUGGGAUUAAAUUGAGUAAUUUCUGUUCUUUGUAAUUGAAUGUUCUGUAGAGGGGUCUUGCAUACAGAGUGCUGGUUCACAGCUGAGGAGGGAUAGUUUGAUCUGAGCGCUGUGUGGACUUGAGAAAUCAGACUUCUGUUGGAUCCGAGGGUUUGUUUUAAAAACUGUUUAGUGUCGUGUGUAACACAGAAAAGAUGACCAUGGGAAGAGAGAAAACAAAGGAGAGCAUGAAUUUGUUUUCCUUGAAAGAGAAUGACAGCAGGCAGUAAGGACAAGCCAUGCAUUGUGAUCGUCCCUUCAGCGGCUGAAGCAGCAGGAGGCUUCUUAGGCAGGGCUGAGGCUGUGCUGCUUGGGUGGCUACCCGGCCUGCGGAGCUCGUCUGCUCGCCUUCCUGGAAGGGCAGAGCAGGCAGCCAGGUGCCCUCCAGCAGUCUGCGGCUUGGAGAUCUGCUUACUUUGCCUCUGCCUAAGGCCAGCCCCAGCCUGGACUCCUUCCUCAUACGUGUGAUGGAUGAGAAAACAGAGCGUGAUGCUGCACGCAGAGUAAAGGGGGAACUGGAAUACUUGUGCUUCAUUCUUUCAGCUGUGUUUUACAGCUCUUUUAAAAAUAUUUCUGAGUAACUGCAGGGAAAAAGUGCUGUGUUCUCUCCGUAAAACAGUGUUUGUGAGUAACACCUGUUCUUCAGAAGUAUCAGGCAGUGCCUUGUAAGUCUGCAGGAACUUUGAGAGUUUUAGGCUACCUAUGAAUAAGGUUAAGUUCUUACAGCUGAAGGGAGGGGAAUUGCAGUGCUGGCAUAAGGAAGGUUAUGAGUUGAAUUUAGCAAGAAUUUGUCUGGGGACUGAGCUGGUUUCAUUCUUUCUUUCCUGCAUGCAAGUAAGGGUGUGCCAGCAGAAUUUAUUGAUUAUAAAAUUUGAGAGGCCAUUGUCUGCGUAGAAGGGAACUGGAGCAGAUUUUGGAAUGAUUCAGAGAACUCUGAAGCCUGCAAUAACAGAAGUGGGAUGAAAUGUAGUAGAACAAAGGGCAAAAUCAUUUACCUAAGGACCCAUGAGAAUUUUGGCUUUGAGCUCAUCAGUUAGAAACAACCAAAGGAAAGUCCUCAUGAAUUCAUCACAAAAUGACCACCCUCACACACUAUAUACAUACCUCCAUGGUGUAUCAGGCAAUCUUUUUUUCCAGAAGAACUGGGGAAGCACAUAAGCCACCUUAGCUUAGUGAGAGAGACCAUCCACAGCAUGUCUUGUUGUAGUCAGCUGCAGUGAGGAAAGAUAAAUACUAGGGGGAAAAGGUGUGGAGCAGGGUUAGUAAGAUGGCCAGGAAACUGGAGUUACUGCUAUAUGGAUAAGCGUAAAGAUUUGCCUUGAUUAAUCAAAGAAAAUGAAGUCUGAGGAAGAUGUCAUUGCUCCCUUUAAAUAAUAGAUGUCAAGGAGACAAGAGAUAUUGAAAGCUAGAAGAAAAAGCUGGUCCAGGAGAAAUGACCAUACAUUUAUUCUGGCUGGAAAUGAGGAGGAGAAAGAACAAGACUAAAUGACAUUUGCUGAUGUAUUGGAAACAGAGUGGCUGAUGACGUGGGGAUCGCUGUCAGGCCACUGGCUCAGGACACUGCAAGCCUGGAGCAGAGGGUGUGCUCCAGGCUCUGGUGUCUGCAGUCACGGCCCACUCUCAAGGCAGGGAGACACUGAGUUUGCCUCCCAUGAGGUACUUCAGUGCUUCUCCCACAGAAGUUGUUUGCCUGGUUGUCUCCUACUUGUUUCCUUUCUCCCUUGAAGGCUCCUGUUGCUCCCUUUGCCUUCAUUUACAUCCUAGUCUUGUGGAUCUGUUAUAGUUGUGUUCAUGGUAGCCCACUAUUUUGGAGCUCCACAGGGCUGAAACAGCUAGAAAUUCAACUCCAGUGGUUUUGUAGGUGAGACAAAUGCCUCCAAGUUUGAGUUUGCUGUGCAAAGCCAUGGACAGGACAAAGACUGGCAGGCAACAAGAGCUACUAGCAGCACAAAUUCUGCUUUUCUGACAAAAUCCUUUAGAUUCUAUUUAGUGAAGCCACAUCCAGUUAAGCCACAACUUAAGUCAGAGUAACCAUGGAUGAAAAGCCCCACAUAGAGCUUUAGGUUAAAUGGGAGCUUUGUGGUCCCACAAAGGAACCCUUUUUCCAGAAAUAAACACAGAGUUGCUCCUACAUUAAUGUCUUGUUUAGUCUGGAUGUCAAUCUGUACUUAAAAUACGUAAUGAUAGAUAAAUAUAUCUGUGUGUGCGUGAGCCAGAUCAGAUGCAGAAGUGCUCUGAUGUAACUCGGGUGCUGGGACUAUGUUCUGAUUUAUUUUUUUCUGCUCUUUGAGACUACAAACCUGAGGGCUUUCCAAAAGUUGCCUCAAUUCAGGGAUUCUGAGUUCUGUGAUUAGGUGGGAACCACAUCACUAUGUUGUCUUAAAAACAGCCAGGCAGGUGCCCUGAUUACAUCUCUGCAGGCUGGAUCCAGCAACAGGAAGCUGAUCUAGGGAUAAAGCAGUGCAGAGUGUGAUACACUGUGGUUUCUCUUCUGUUAUUAUCUUUAAGGUGAAGUAAAAAGAGGGAAAAAAAGAAAUGUAAAUGAUCAGUUCAAACAAGCUAUUUGCAAAAAUCUGCCAGAUACUCCGGUCUGUUCUAUCUAAAUGUGGUUGCAAUAUUUUGCAUUAUACUACUUGGUGUUUAAUUCCUACAACAAAUAUCUUCUAAUCUUCUAUAUCUUCUGUCUGGCUAGCAGGAUUAACACGCUCCCUAGCCUGGACAGGACUCCUGUUAAAUAUACCUACUGAAUUCAGCUUUAGUUCUGUUUUAAAGAAAAUUAAUAAAUAAAUCAUUUGUGCUGUUUUUAUUCCAUGGCUGUUUUGGAGUAGGGGGUGAGAGGGAAAGGAGGAGCGAGAGAGCACCUGCAGGUGCAACAACAGGUAAGAAGAAGACAGCAAGCAUGUUCUAGUGUGGGGUAUAAAGACAGCGGGGAUAUAUUCAUAGCAUAUGUAUGUGUGCUGCAGCGGGGAGGUAAGUUGGGCUGAAUUUGUUGAUGCAUAAAGUGAGGAUAGAAUAGAGAACAGUUACUUAAAUACUAAGCUUUUCUCAAUGUAACCUACCUGCUUGUAGCGUGGGAUGAAUGCAUGUUAUUGCAGCGCCGGUCUUAGAGCCCACACAGGGGAGAUUUCAUUCAUUUCAAAGGCAAAUGCUCUAGAUUUCAGGACUGCCAAGGUGACAAGGCAUGGAUUGAAACACGUUAAAUAGUUCAUGAUUUCUAGAAGUGUGUGUUUCUUUACGCUUUUUGUCUUUUCAGAGUAUUAACUCUGAACGGUAAUGACCGCAUUUCACUAUUGAACAGACACAGUUUCAGGACUGACCUUUUUAACAGAUGGGAAAGAGUAGAAGUCCUGUUCUUCCCAGAGGGGAACAUGGUAGUUACUGCAACAGAGAGAAAUCACAUUUGUCAGAAGGUAGAAAACAAAGGAGGAAUUACAGUGAGAAGGAGGGACUAUUGUUCUAAAAAGAGAAACUUGCUUUCCUCUGAUCCACUCUCCAAAGACACAACAGGAUGCUUGAAUUCAACAGAAAUUUUAUUUCCCUGUAGGUAACUCUAAAGGCUGGGCUCAGCCUCCAUUAUUUCCACCUACUCUUGAUAUCAAAAAGGAAUCAGCCGUAGGUUUAGGUUAAGCCUAAUGCUGACGCUGCGCGUUCUGUCCAAGAGUUUGCCUGCAAAUUGUGUCAGAGCAAAAAGCCUGGAAAGUUUUGAGAAUGAGUUGCGAGACGUGGCUGUAUGAGAAGGCUGGCAUCCCUCUUGUAACAAUAGCAGCAUACAAUCUGUGUUCUGUGCUAGCUAAUCUUAAGAUGGAGGAACAAAAGGUAGGUUGUAGUAACACUUUUUCCCCCUUAAGUCUGUUCAUAUAAAGCAACUUUAAUUCAUGUAAAGGUUAGAAAUUUUAUUUACUGAUUAAACGCAGGACUGGAAUUACUUGUUAUUUCUCUAGCAGAUAGCAAAUUGUAACUAUGUUCUUCAGUCAGACGUUAACUCUAGGAGAUUUCUACAUAGAAAUAAGCGAAAUUACAGAAAUCCCGAUAACCUUAUUUAUUCUGGUUGCAAUAAAAACAGCUAUUCUAAUAUGAUUAGGUAACAACAGUACUGUUGUCUACAGUGCCAACUGUUACGUCCUUUGCUGCUUGUGUUUCAUUACUACCUAAGAGGCCCUGGUCCCAAGCCAGGACCCUGUUGUGCUAGGCAUGGCUCAAACGAUCAUCUUUAGAGCAAAGAGCUUACAGUGUUUAUGGUGCUUUUGGUUUCCAAUGCAUCAUUUGUAACGACAGCUACUGUUAAAGCUUUAAUUUAUUUAGAGAAUAAUUUUGUUGGUUGUUUCUUUUAUGCUUCAACAAAGUAGCUCGAACCCAAACAGCUGUUUGCUUUACUGAACAGCCUGUAAUAAAACCAAUAAAUAUCUGAUCUUUGUACUGCGUUGAACAGCACAAAACGGUUGAUAGCAUCAUUAGCUUCUCUUUAGCUACUCACUUAGCCUUUCAUAGGAAUCAAAUCCAUGUACGUUGGUAGGAAAGUGGAGCAUAAAGAGCUCCCUCUGUGCAUUAGCAUAUGCUUUUUUUCUUUUAAAAUUAAAGUGUAUUCUGCAUUUCCUUACAGUUAAAUACAUCGCAUUACGUUUACCUGAAAGUUUCCAGGUUAAAAAGUCCCAUGCUUGCAUAUGAGGUCUUUUUUUCCAUAAAGAAUUGCAUUUUUUUUUUCCCCUGAAAAACAAAACAAAUAAACAAACCCUGAAAACUCUGCAUGGUUUUGUGCCUUCCUAAAAGGGAAAAAAAAAAUAAAAAAAAUAAAAAAAAGCCAGGAAAAAGACAUGGCCUUCCCAGCUUUAUUAGCUGAGGUGAGGUGCUAACCCCUCAUCCAUCACAUAUCCUAUCGCUUGUAGAGGAACUGUCUGCAUGGCACUUAUCUCUG